rnacentral:sRNA from 1 species
UGUAGAGAAACCCGUCUUCGUCUUUGUGUUCUUCGUAGAU